rnacentral:rRNA from 1 species
AUUGAACGCUGGCGGCAUGCUUUACACAUGCAAGUCGAACGGUAACAGGCCGCAAGGUGCUGACGAGUGGCGAACGGGUGAGUAAUGCAUCGGAACGUGCCCAGUCGUGGGGGAUAACGCAGCGAAAGCUGCGCUAAUACCGCAUACGAUCUAUGGAUGAAAGCGGGGGACCGUAAGGCCUCGCGCGAUUGGAGCGGCCGAUGUCAGAUUAGGUAGUUGGUGGGGUAAAGGCUCACCAAGCCAACGAUCUGUAGCUGGUCUGAGAGGACGACCAGCCACACUGGGACUGAGACACGGCCCAGACUCCUACGGGAGGCAGCAGUGGGGAAUUUUGGACAAUGGGCGCAAGCCUGAUCCAGCAAUGCCGCGUGCAGGAAGAAGGCCUUCGGGUUGUAAACUGCUUUUGUACGGAACGAACCGGUCCUGGUUAAUACCUGGGGCUAAUGACGGUACCGUAAGAAUAAGCACCGGCUAACUACGUGCCAGCCGCCGCUGUAACAC